ensembl:lncRNA
CAGAACGUUUUCACAAGUUGUCUAUAUGCUGCUCCAGUAUGUUGCUGCAAAAUUAUAAUUGCAUAAAGGAGUUUCAUACUUCAGGUUUUCUCAAAGACCAAGGAUUUCUAACAGUAGUAUCUAAUCAGGCACUAGUAAGCAUACAGAUCACUUCUUCUAAAGAGUCGUUGAAAAUAUAUUUUGUGUUUACCUUAUUACUUCCCUAUUAAAACAUUUUUAGUUAUUUUAGAGAAGUGAGCAAAACUUUUUAAUACUGUCAUUUAUAUGCAUGACUAAAUUAUGAAAACUUAAUUCUACCUAAUGCUGUGUUGCCUCCCCCAGGAAUGUUUAAUUUGACUAGUACUCAUCAGUAGAUACUGCUUUCUACUCUACAAACGACAUUGAAUACUACAGCCACCUUUCUCACUCCAUGGUCUCUCUAUGGCUCAUCUGCUGUGGCUAGCUAUUUUCAAAGCCAGCACUAGAUCACAUUAUAACCUACUGCUGAAUGCUAUAAAUGCUUGUAACUGCUCCAGGAGUUCUUCCUAUCCCUCUGCAGAUCUGCUUCAGUACUCGGUAUUAGCAGUAUAGCUGUCAGCCUGCUUGUGAAUUCCCCACACACACUGUCAUUGCUUUGUAUGUAAAUUAGUCAGUCUUCAUCUCAGGAAUAUCGUAAGGACUUAUUCUUCUUGUGUCUCUUCCAAAAUAAGUUUCUUACAGUCAUCUUUUGUUCUAUAUAUGACAAUUCUAGGGGUUUUUUUAUUUCACGUUCUCUCAUAGGGAGCCUAGAAUAUUGCAGUUGGAUAUUUUUUUCAUUCCAAGAAAGAGGGAUAAUUCAUUAUCUGUCACAAUCAGUGUUUUCUUUUUGAAUCAAAUAAUCAAUUUUCCAGUUAAUUUUCAUAUUUCUUGAUGCAAUUGUUACACUCUGUUCUUUUAUCUGCAAAUAGCCAAACUUUUAAGACACUUUGCAAGACUAGAAAACUGCUCACCCCCUGAGAAGGAAAAGUCACCCUUUCUCAAGAGUACAAGAUUUUUGCUUCUGUUGCUAGCAUCUCUGUGGAAUGCCCUCUUUUCUUUGGAGUUACUCUACCCGCUCUGUUUAAAUCUUGACGUGAGACCCUGCAGAGUACAAGAGCAGGAGUUCCUUUACAUCUUCUGGUUUGAUCAGUCAUAGUCUUUAUGAGAAACCCAAGUAUUGCUUAAGUUAAAUGCCUUAACUAACAAAGGACUCUUUGGGGAAAUAGAUGUUCCUUCUCUGUAGCAGCAAGUGGAAUUGAUUGAGCAUGAGCAGAAAAAGUAGUUACUGCCUUUUAUUAAAGGGUAUAGGGGUGUCGGCAUCACUUGUUUUCCUCCUUCUGAGACUUAAAGACUUUAGGAUUCUUUUUUCAAUGCAUCAUCCCAACAUUGUUUGCAGUAUUUAACCACCUACUUGUAACUUCAGUUCUAAAAGAUACAAGAUACUUCUCGAUGCUGUGUCCUUAACUCUUCCCGCAAUAGUGUAUUUUCCUCUUCUACUGGACCAUUAUAUAUGUAGUAUUUCCACCCACAUUUAUAUUUAAGUGCUAGAAUCUUCCGACAGCAUACCUGCAGCGAAUGCAAGCCUGGGGUGCUAAAUAACGUGACGGUGACUUGCUCUGGCUGGUGUGACUGAUUAACAAUGCUGGUUUUAACACUUUGCACACCUUACCAGCGUUCCUCAUGAAGUCAUAGGAUGCAGGUGUAGACCUCAUAAAAUUACAUAUGUAAGAAGGAGGACAGAUUCGGCAGUUAAUCUACAGAGUUACCAGUUAUAGCAGAUGAACUGUAUUCCAAAGAAGUGCUGUUGCAGUGGAGCAAGGGAACUGCUAGUUUGAUGUUCAGUAUUGCAGUUGUUGCCACAGAACAUUUUAAUACUGUUGUAGAAAGUUUUGUGACCUGGUCAAUAUUUUACAUGUAUAUCUGUAUCUUUAUUAUAAUAUUGUAAUGGAAAAGGGUCUAAGGUUUGGAAGUUGUCUACAAUAAGAAUGAAGGCCCUGAUUCUCAUUUAUACUACUGUCCUUUGCAUCACAUUGAAAGGAUAAAGGGGCCUUAAACGGAUGUCAAUUUAGCUUACAUCCUUUGGAGUUUCCCAUUACACUAAUAAUGGUGUAAACAGUCAGUAGAAUAAAUUAAAACCGUUACCAAAUGACUGAUUUGUACAAUCAUCUGAAAUCAAUUUCAUGAUAUUGCUAUUGUGCACAUAGUGGCCAAUAACAUCCAGAUAGUUCUUAGUUUAGAAAUACAGGUUGAAAAGAAACUGGCUUGGUUUUUAUCAGGUUUCAAGUAUUCACUUCUAUUGGCUGUCCUUCUCCCAACACUGUCUACAAAGAGAAUGGGGUAGAAGACUUGUAUCUCUAGGUAAUAGCCUGGCCAGAAACCUUACAGAAUUGUCAAUAAUACUAUUUGUAAGCUUUGGUGUUUUUUUUUUUUCCUUAAAAUACUUGCUUCCAUUUAUCAUAACUUCAUCCCUUUUACUUGAUUGUAUAAAACGGGGUUGUGACAAUCUACUGAACUCAGUUCUUUUCUGACUUAAGACCCA